GAUGAACGCUAGCUACAGGCUUAACACAUGCAAGUCGCGGGGUAACAUCUGGUAGAGCUUGCUCUUCCAGGAUGACGACCGGCGCACGGGUGAGUAACGCGUAUCCAACCUGGCCCAUACCACGGGAUAGCCCGUCGAAAGGCGGAUUAAUACCGUAUGCUGUCAUUAAGAUGCAUAUAUUGAUGACGAAAGGACUGGCGGUAUGGGAUGGGGAUGCGUCUGAUUAGCUUGUUGGCGGGGUAACGGCCCACCAAGGCGACGAUCAGUAGGGGUUCUGAGAGGAAGGUCCCCCACAUUGGAACUGAGACACGGUCCAAACUCCUACGGGAGGCAGCAGUGAGGAAUAUUGGUCAAUGGGCGCAAGCCUGAACCAGCCAAGUAGCGUGAGGGAAGACUGCCCUACGGGUUGUAAACCCCUUUGUUUGGGAAUAAAGUGCGGGACGCGUCCCGCAUUGCAUGUACCAUUUGAAUAAGGACCGGCUAAUUCCGUG
rnacentral:rRNA from 1 species